rnacentral:rRNA from 1 species
AAUAGAUACCCGGGUAGUCCACGCCGUAAACGAUGGAUACUAGCUGUUCGGAGUAAUCUGAGUGGCUAAGCGAAAGUGAUAAGUAUCCCACCUGGGGAGUACGUUCGCAAGAAUGAAACUCAAAGGAAUUGACGGGGGCCCGCACAAGCGGUGGAGCAUGUGGUUUAAUUCGAUGAUACGCGAGGAACCUUACCAGGGCUUAAAUGUAGAUUGACAGGUUUAGAGAUAGACUUUUCUUCGGACAAUUUACAAGGUGCUGCAUGGUUGUCGUCAGCUCGUGCCGUGAGGUGUCAGGUUAAGUCCUAUAACGAGCGCAACCCCUGUUGUUAGUUGCCAGCGAGUAAUGUCGGGAACUCUAACAAGACUGCCAGUGCAAACUGUGAGGAAGGUGGGGAUGACGUCAAAUCAUCACGGCCCUUACGUCCUGGGCUACACACGUGCUACAAUGGUAGGGACAGAGAGCAGCCACUUCGCGAGAAGGAGCGAAUCUAUAAACCCUAUCACAGUUCGGAUCGGAGU